CUUUUUGCAACGCACUGUUUUAUCUCUGCGGAAGAAUACUUUAGAACACACGGGCCUGUCUCUUUGUUGACGCUGGAGAAAUUGCGGUUAUUUUUGAGACGGCGCUCCUCAUUGGCUACUGUGGACCUGCAAUAUUCUGUUCACUGUACGAGCGCCUAAGAUUGGCUACGUUGGAUCUGCAAUGCGUCAAGCAAUGGCGGCUAAUGUUACCUCAGUGGUUUUGGAAAAUGGUGUAACCGGACAGUCUACAUUGUAACACAGAGUAGUUUCGCAAUACUGUAAUAAUUGCUUACGACAAGACGUUUCUUUCAGUCUUUGUAGUUUCUCAAAAUGUUUCCUCCUCACCUGGCAAGGGCUCGAUUUGAGUUUUUCGGGAGGAGUGGUGGUGAUUGGCGAUUGGUCACCGCAAACAUACACGGAACAUGUAGUCGCGGAAUUUUAAAUGGCGGGUUUCGAUUAAGGAAUAUAGAAUUACAAUAUUAGAAAGCUUGUGCUGAUUCCAAGUCUAUUUUGUAAAUUAGACCAGUACUGGAUACAAAAAUCAAGAUUUACCAAUUGACUAUGGCUAAACAAACUGUUUAAUAGUAAUGAUGAUUGAUUUUAGACAAUUAUCUCGCAGCCUGCAACAAUCAAUGGACUGGCAAACCAUUGAAUUAACGAUGAAUCCCAACAACAUUCACGCUUUAAUCAGUUUAUGGAAGUAACUGAUUGAUUCAUGCUCAAAGAUGAAUAGGCUAAACUAAAUCAUAAAAUGUGCCAUCAAGAUAACAUGAUUUAGCCUAAAAUUAUAGCUACUACCCCUCCAACAAACCACAGUCGCUUCCGAGAUGACGUCAUAUUUAUCCGACUGUUUACAUGCAGGGGAGAACAACACAUGGCUCUAUUUCCAGCUUUUGUACGAUUAUCAAAUACAAAACCUGAGAAUGCACCUAAACGUAAUACCCAAAAUGUUUAUUUAUGUUUAGUGUGAACCAGCUAACCCUCUUUCUGUGACGGCCCAGGACUAUGAAAGAGAGAUCUAGUGAAAGUAAACGCAAGUGCGACGUUUCUGCCUUUGACAGAACGUAGUAAAAGAGCUGCCAGUGUCAGCUUGAUAGUUGAUCUAGUUUGUUAGCUAAAUAGCUCCCAACACAAUUGUACUAUAGCUAGCUAAGUGUCUUUGCCAUCGGUAACACAGUCUGCUCGUAACAUAGCUAACGUCCCCCCAAAAUGCAAAACCCUAACCCAUGGACACAGUGCGAGAACUAAUUUCGAUUGAUUAGACAUGCCCCCUCUCUCUCCUCGGAACUAGAAUGGCUGAGCAGUCAAAGUUUCUGCACCGACGAUGUUCUUUCUGUCCACCAGUGAACCACUGAGAAAGCCAAUGAGACACAACCAGCAGAAACAAGAUGUUAUUAUCAUAAAAUUCUUUAAUCGUUAUUCAGUUAUUUCCCUACCUCUGUGACAGAAUAGUAUUUCAUGCUCAAUUGUACAGGAGACAGGAUAAGGCAUUCUGCCCUAUUUGAGAAGCACUGGAGGUUUUAUUGAGUGGCUUUGAAUGUUGGGAUGAUAUGACCUGAGCAUUGACCGUUGUUGAGAAUUUCACCCAAAAGUCAAUAGCUUGUGGUAUUUGUACUUAAAUGUUUACUACUAACAUUUCUGACACACACCAGAUAGGGAGGAUAAGAAUGGCUACCCAUCCAAGAAGAAUAAAAAGAAGCACAAGAAGAAGAAUGGAGAACCCUCUACAGCAAGCAGUGGCUCAUAUUCAAAUACUAUCUACUCCAGUGAUCUCCUGAAAAAGGCUGAGACUACACCUCACACUGAGGAGGUGCAGUGUCAGCUGGAGGGGUCUUUUGUGUGGCUGGACGACCUCUAGACCCCCACCGAUUGGCCCUUCUGCGUGGACAGAAGAGCAGACCUUUCCAACUUGGAGUACAAAUCGCUCUACAGAGAAGACAUCGCUAGGUACAAGAGGAAAAGCCGUUCUUCUCUGGGUUUGGACCCGCGAUCUCAGGCCAUGAGCUGGUCUGAGUCUGGCCAAGAGAAGAAGAGAGGGGACAGAGACGCGACCGCUACUUCUCCCUCACUGUCCGCCAGCUGCUGAGGUCAAAUCCACGCUGCCUAGACCACCACCAGAGGUCACUACCACCUUACCCUUCAUCCCUGUGCUCCCUUGCCUGGAAGGUGAGUCUGAGGGGGGUGGUUCUGCCCUGGGCCAGGCCCCCUGGGUCAACCCACUGGGGGUGUAUGACUCCUGCACCUCCCUGUGGCUUCAGAGCAGGGCAAGCAGGGCGGAGCAGGGCAAGGCAGAGGAAAAACCCUCUACUCCCAGAGACAAUGCUGCCGCCCUGCUGGCUGAACAGGUGGAGGACUUUAACAGGAGGUUGAGGGAAACCUCCAGACACACACACCUGGCUGCAGUUUGUCCACUUCCAGGUUCGGUAUUCAACGUUAAAACCCCACAAUUACACACCACACCAAUCAGUGUCAUCACAUCACAUGAGAUUUCACUAGGAUUUCAAAAUAGUUUUUGCUGGCCUUUUCACUAGGACAGGAAAUGUGUCGUGAUACAAAAAAAAAUCAUAUGAUUAUGUACUAGCUACUAUCAUUACUUUUAAAUUAUACUAACAUCCCGAUCUGUAUUACAGGACGAGGUGACGAGUGCCCCCGGGGUGUUUGGUGACAUCUCUGAGAAUGAGACAGAGCGCCAGAAGAGGUUAGCGAGGCCACGCAUUUUGGAUCGAGCGGUGGACAGUAACCCCAGCUGUGU